AUUUAUAUAGUUUAUUAAAACAUUACAUUUUCAAUGUAAAAAUAAAACUUUAUAUUUUUAUA
rnacentral:tRNA from 1 species